rnacentral:tRNA from 4 species
GAGAAAGUAUGCAAGAACUGCUAACUCCUGCCUCCAGACUUAAUAUCCUGGCCUUCUCA